rnacentral:misc_RNA from 1 species
ACACACACACACACACACAUAUAAAACAGAUUAGUAUAACUGAGAACAUGAAGCAAAUAGCUAAGUAUUCAGGGAAAAAACUUUUUGCAGUGCACAUUUACCUUAAGAGAAUGUAGCAUAUUUCAUUUAACCAUCCAUAGAAUACAAUCAUGCUAAGUGUUCAGCAAUUUAUCAACAAAAAGAUUGACAAACUAACAUGAUGUAGAAUAGCAACUACAAUAACUACCAAAAAUACAAACAUAUGAAUGUA